UACGUAGGGUGCGAGCGUUAAUCGGAAUUACUGGGCGUAAAGCGUGCGCAGGCGGUUUGCUAAGACAGGUGUGAAAUCCCCGGGCUUAACCUGGGAACUGCGCUUGUAACUGGCAAGCUGGAGUGUGGCAGAGGGGGGUGGAAUUCCGACGUGUAGCAGUGGAAAAUGCGUAGAGAUGUGGAGGAACACCGAUGGCGAAGGCAGCCCCCUGGGCUAACACUGACGCUCAUGCACGAAAGCGUGGGGAGCAAACAGG
rnacentral:rRNA from 1 species